rnacentral:rRNA from 1 species
CCUACGGGGGGCAGCGGUGAGGAAUAUUGGUCAAUGGACGAGAGUCUGAACCAGCCAAGUAGCGUGAAGGAUGACUGCCCUAUGGGUUGUAAACUUCUUUUAUAUGGGAAUAAAAUGUUCCACGUGUGGGAUUUUGUAUGUACCAUAUGAAUAAGGAUCGGCUAACUCCGUGCCAGCAGCCGCGGUAAUACGGAGGAUCCGAGCGUUAUCCGGAUUUAUUGGGUUUAAAGGGAGCGUAGGUGGAUUGUUAAGUCAGUUGUGAAAGUUUGCGGCUCAACCGUAAAAUUGCAGUUGAAACUGGCAGUCUUGAGUACAGUAGAGGUGGGCGGAAUGCGUGGUGUAGUGGUGAAAUGCUUAGAUAUCACGAAGAACUCCGAUUGCGAAGGCAGUUCACUGGACUGCAACUGACACUGAGGCUCGAAAGUGUGGGUAUCAAACAGGAUUAGAUACCCGAGUAGUC